AUUGAACGCUGGCGGCAGGCCUAACACAUGCAAGUCGAGCGGAUGAAGGGAGCUUGCUCUUGGAUUCAGCGGCGGACGGGUGAGUAAUGCCUAGGAACCUGCCUGGUAGUGGGGGAUAACGUCCGGAAAGGGGCGCUAAUACCGCAUACGUCCUGAGGGAGAAAGUGGGGGAUCUUCGGACCUCACGCUAUCAGAUGAGCCUAGGUCGGAUUAGCUAGUUGGUGGGGUAAAGGCCUACCAAGGCGACGAUCCGUAACUGGUCUGAGAGGAUGACCAGUCACACUGGAACUGAGACACGGUCCAGACUCCUACGGGAGGCAGCAGUGGGGAAUAUUGGACAAUGGGCGCAAGCCUGAUCCAGCCAUGCCGCGUGUGUGAAGAAGGUCUUCGGAUUGUAAAGCACUUUAAGUUGGGAGGAAGGGCAGUAAGUUAAUACCUUGCUGCUUUGACGUUACCAACAGAAUAAGCACCGGCUAACUUCGUG
rnacentral:rRNA from 1 species